CUACGGGCUGCUGCAGUCGAGAAUCUUCCGCAAUGCGCGAAAGCGUGACGGGGCAAUACCGCGUGCAGGAUGACGGCCUUCGGGUUGUAAACUGCUGUCACCAGGGACGAAAUUUGACGGUACCUGGAGAGGAAGCCACGGCUAAAUACGUGCCAGCAGCCGCGGUAAUACGUAUGUGGCGAGCGUUGUUCGGAUUUAUUGGGCGUAAAGGGUCCGCAGGUGGUUCGCUAAGUCUGAUGUGAAAUCCCGAGGCUCAACUUCGGAACUGCAUUGGAGACUGGUGGACUAGAGUAUCCGAGAGGUAAGCGGAAUACCAGGUGUAGCGGUGGAAUGCGAAGAUAUCUGGUAGAACACCGAAAGCGAAGGCAGCUUACUGGACGAUUACUGACACUCAUGGACGAAAGCGUGGGGAGCAAACAGGAUUAGAUACCCUGGUAGUC
rnacentral:rRNA from 1 species